CAGCCGCCGCGGGAAUACGUAGGUGGCAAGCGUCGUCCGGAAUUAUUGGGCGUAAAGGGCUCGCAGGCGGUUUCUUAAGUCUGAUGUGAGAGCCCCCGGCUCAACCGGGGAGGGUCAUUGGAAACUGGGAAACUUGAGUGCAGAAGAGGAGAGUGGAAUUCCACGUGUAGCGGUGAAAUGCGUAGAGAUGUGGAGGAACACCAGUGGCGAAGGCGACUCUCUGGUCUGUAACUGACGCUGAGGAGCGAAAGCGUGGGGAGCGAACAGGAUUAGAUACCCGUGUAGUCCCUGUCUCUUAUAC
rnacentral:rRNA from 1 species